rnacentral:lncRNA from 1 species
AGUCGUUCCGACGACCAUGACAAAAACAUCCUUUUCUCCUUCCCUGAUUUCUGUCGGGCCAUCAUCGGUGGACGGUGAGAAGGAUCAAAACAUUCACGGCCUAGCUGCAGAACUUGAGGUCAUGGCCGAAAGUGCUUGCAGGGAACCGGCAAAGCAUGCAUAUUAUAGACCUGGGAACACAAAAUCCAUAACUUAGUUCUUAUAGCAUGUAAAAUUUCUUUGCUUGGUUGUAGCUUUGACCAAAUCACCAGAAGAAUGGGCACCAGAUUGCAGCGUGAGUGCAGAUUAGCAUUUAUUUUAAGUGCCACUAUGUUGGCCUUUGAAGGUAUGGUUUAUUUGGAUUUCAUAGAAUUCUACAGAAAAAAAUUGUAUAUCUUAAAUCCCAUUGUUAUACCUAAAAAAAUCUCAGUGUAAUGAAAAUCUAUGCAUCUAGGAACAUGCAGCGUCCCUUUGGAAUGUUCAUUAGAGGCUAAGUGUAUCUGUCGACAUACUGUGAGUUACCAGUUUCCGACAGUGUGGAGGAAGCUGAAGCCCGGAUAGCCCUGGUUUGGCUGCUCUGGCAAAAGUUUCCAAAGGACCUGUGGAGCUUGAGAUGGAUUGGAAAACAGUGACUGAAUAUCUGAACUCAGAUGUGCCCACUCUUGCUCCCUGCUAUGGAGUGACCUAAGAUAUAAAGGCGGCCCUGUAUUGCUUUCCUUCAUUCAAAGUUGUAUUUACAGGAAGGGGGGGGGUCUUGUUAGCUUUAACACAAAAUUUGGGAAAGAUCUGAAGGAUUAUGUCAUUCAAAUAGCAGGUGAGGGAAACACAUCAAUAAUAUAUAGGCAGCAGAAACAUAUAGAUGAACUAUAGCUCUAUAUCAAAACCACUGCUUUCCGACAUACAACAUGGUAGGCACAGAAUGAGAUGAGCAAGGAAGCUUGGUACAAAUACACAAAUGCAGUUUCUAACCUUACUGUAAUAAUGAACAUAUUGAUUAAUACGUAAUUAAGUAGGAGCAUAGUUGUGCAGUUCGUUUCUGUUCUGAGGGCUAAUGCUCAUUUCUAGAGGAAAAUAAUCUUAGAUUUCUAACUGAACUAUAAUCCCAUGUAGGUAUGUCUGUAGAACAAAGAACAUAUUACACAUCGAUGUAAUCCCUUCUUCCUCACAUAACUAAAUAAAAGAAGACACAUGAGUAAAAUUGUAAUAACUGGAUAAAAGAACACACAUGACUAAUUUAAAUUAUGAAUUGGACAGAAACGUUUUCAUGGUUGCCUAGCAAAUGAAAAUAGCAUCUUAUCAUAUAUUGGGUCUUUAACAGAAUCAAAUACAUGGUCAGAGUGUUCCUGAGAUUGGUGGUUUUUGAACUCUGUUCCUUGACAACAUGGCCCCUGCUUGCUUACUGAUGGAUCAGAUAGACAACCAAGUCCUAAGUUUUAUUACUUUCCCUUUGCAAUUUAAUAUAUGCAGCAGGACACUGUGGUACUACAAUUUUCAUUAAAGUAGCUACAAAAGGCCCCUAGUCAACAUAUUAACAUCAUGGGAAAUGUUUCUGAUUUCCUGAAACGUUAUAGUGUGGCAAACAAUUCUGAAUUGUAGUUGCCUGAAACUGACAUGUUUCUGUGAACAUCUCAAACCUGGUGGACUUGAUGCCUAAGAUAUUUUCAACACGAAUUGGUACAUUUUCUUUUAUAAACCCAGGUUCAAAACUAUCGCUUCUUAACAGAGUUUUCUGUACUUGUUCACUGCCAAAUUAUUCAGUAUAUUGUCAACUGAAAAUAGGCUGAACAUCUGUGAUUGCUGCCUGCAGUCAGUUUUCCUUAAGAAAGAAGAAAUGAUAUGGAAUUUUGGUCUACUGAGCUUUCUUCUUCAUGAAAAUGAGGCAUCUUUGAGACAAAAAAAUUAGCAAUAGCAUUCAUCAUCUAGUAGGGAUGAAUGACACGGGUGCCUUUAAUAUUCU